rnacentral:rRNA from 1 species
AUUGAACGCUGGCGGCAGGCCUAACACAUGCAAGUCGAGCGGGGUUUUCGGACCUAGCGGCGGACGGGUGAGUAAUGCGUAGGAAGCUACCCGAUAGAGGGGGAUACCAGUUGGAAACGACUGUUAAUACCGCGUAAUGUCUACGGACCAAAGUGUGGGACCUUCGGGCCACAUGCUAUCGGAUGCGCCUACGUGGGAUUAGCUAGUUGGUGAGGUAAUGGCUCACCAAGGCGACGAUCCCUAGCUGGUCUGAGAGGAUGAUCAGCCACACUGGAACUGAGACACGGUCCAGACUCCUACGGGAGGUAGCAGUGGGGAAUAUUGGACAAUGGGCGCAAGCCUGAUCCAGCCAUGCCGCGUGUGUGAAGAAGGCCUUCGGGUUGUAAAGCACUUUCAGUAGGGAGGAAGCGUUGUGUGUUAAUAGUACACAGCGUUGACGUUACCUACAGAAGAAGCACCGGCUAACUCUGUGCCAGCCGCCGCCGUAACAC